AAGGUGUCCAACCUCCUGGGCUUCUCUUCCAGCACUUCCUCCUGGACAGUUCUGCAAGUGCUGACCAGGAGACCUGUGAGGCUGUAAGACCUUCCAGCCCAGAGCUGGGGCUUUCCCUAAAGCGGUCUUCUUGCCUUCUUCCUUUUACUCACUCGAUGUGAUACAUCCGUUUGUAAGCUUUUCCAAGCACCUCCAGGGCUUACUCAGGGCCAGGUGCUCUAACACGAGGUUACAGCCAUGGGAUGGAUGCUCUGCAUGGCUUCUGAGGGCGCAGCCUUCAGAGAGAGAUGGCUCGGCCCUUCUAGAAGUUUACACUUCAGCUCACCACAUUUCAGUUUCUUCAUCUGAGAGGUAGGAAUUGUAAUGGUGUAUAAUUCUCGGAGCUACAGAAAAAGUGAGCUGAUAUGAGGCUAGGAGUAGUUCAGUCACAGAGUGAGGCCGGGUUCAACCCUCAACAUUGUAACUGAAGAAGAAAAGGUGACCAUGAGAUGAACGGAAAGGUGAACCUAGUGGUGCCUGGAGCUCAGAAAGCAGGCAGUGCCAGCAAAUAAAGGGGAGUGUGGGGUAAAUGCAGACAGGAGCCUGAGUGGUCCAUAAGGGGUGAAGGCCUAAGGACCCGUGGCAGGUGGUGCCUACAGGGAGCCUGAAUGUUCAAUUCUGGUGAAGCUACAGGAAGCCAGCCUAGAAGGUCAAAAAGGAAUUUCCUCAGUGGAGAGGAGAGGAAAGAUCCCAUGGCUAACCUGAGCCAAGGUACAGGACGUGUGGGUCAGCGACCACCUGCAAAUUCUCUCGUGAACAUCCUGCUCAGUAGACCAUGAGGAGAGGCACUUCUGUCUCUGGCCCACGAGCCCUUCAUUUCCAGCAGCCAAGCACUGACCGGACACCAGGCAGAGUUAGAAAGGACCAUCUCUUCCGGGGCCCCUUGGAACUUCCAGCUAAGGAGACAACAGGAUAUGAAGACAAGUACACUCACACUCACUCUUUGCUGGGAAGGAACACAAGGAGAAUCCUAUGGAUAUCUCUGACUCAGGGGUGGAGGUCAGGAGACACAAGUGAGUCAUGAGGCAGAAGAGUGUCCUAGAAAGAGGACGGAUCCCGAGCUGUGAAGGAACACGUCAUACCAAAGAAAGGCAAAGGAAGUCAGAGCUGGAGGCCAUGGUCAGAGUGGAGGACUCCAGGGAGACUGGCCGAAGCCUUGGCCAUGUCAAACCUUGCCCCCUCUGGAUGCCGGAUGGAGGGCAGCUGUGGACAGUUACGUCAGAAGGUCCGGGAUGGAGUCAGGAUGUGCAACUGUGGUGUCUUGAACCUCUGCUCUCAACAACUCAAACAGCUCACCUGCUCUGCAAGGAAGUUCUCCAUGCCUCCUCCCAGAACCCACUCCUGAUGUCAACAUGGCAUUUGCUUCCAAGACCCGCCACCCUUCCUGCUUCGGUACUAGUCUCCGGCUCAGCUCCCUUCCCUCCUUCAAACCCUCUUGGCACAGCAGUAACCACACCUGAUCGGGUUUCACAAGAAAGCCGGUGUGAGAAUUCAAAAAGCUACUACUCACUGGAUAUCACACAAUAAACUGUGUUUCACGGAGUCC